rnacentral:rRNA from 1 species
GACGAACGCUGGCGGCGUGCCUAAUACAUGCAAGUCGAACGCAGUGGGGACGGGUGAGUAACACGUGGGUAACCUCCCAUCAGUGGGGAAAACACUUGGAAACAGGUGCUAAACCGAUACUGUUGGAUGAACCCGCGGUGCAUUAGCUAGUUGGUGAGGUAACGGCUCACCAAGGCCACGAUGCAUAGCCGGCCGGAGAGGGUGAUCGGCCACACUGGGACUGAGACACGGCCCAGACUCCUACGGGAGGCAGCAGUGGGGAAUAUUCGGCAAUGGACGAAAGUCUGACCGAGCAACGCCGCGUGUGUGAAGAAGGUUUUCGGAUCGUAAAACUCUGUUGUUAGAGAAGCGGUAUCUAACCAGAAAGCCACGGCUAACUACGUGCCAGCAGCCGCGGUAAUAC